rnacentral:lncRNA from 1 species
ACCAAUGAGGCUAAAGAAAUGGCUUAAUUACAACUUUCUGAGGAAAAAUGGCUUGUAACUUUCCAUGAAUGAAAAUUGACUAAAUCCAGCACUUUUUAGCUUUAUCACGCACUUAUUCAAGCUUUCUUGUGUGUGUAUGGCGAGUAGUCACUUAUCAAACUUUUGGCAAUGAUUAAGCAUAUAAUUUGCUAUAUAAUUAAUGAUGA